rnacentral:ncRNA from 12 species
CGAACUCGGGUCUGUGGUUGAAAAUCGAUGCCAGCUGCGGGCAAAGCGAUCCACGUAAGCCGUUCAAAGAGCGGUGAUCAUGGGGCAGUUUAGAGGUAAGACCGGCCAGGCACUUGCUUUGUAGGAAAGACAAACUUCGGUUGCGCAUCCGUCAAAUGUAAGAUUCCUGAGAGGGGUAGUAGUGGGGAGGCAGAUAGCCUUAGGAGCGAACCCUCCAGCCGGCGGAUGUGGGGACAAAGACCAGGUCAGCCGAUGCUG